rnacentral:rRNA from 1 species
GACGAACGCUGGCGGCGUGCUUAACACAUGCAAGUCGAACGGAAAGGCCCUGCUUUUGUGGGGUGCUCGAGUGGCGAACGGGUGAGUAACACGUGAGUAACCUGCCCUUGACUUUGGGAUAACUUCAGGAAACUGGGGCUAAUACCGGAUAGGAGCUCCUGCUGCAUGGUGGGGGUUGGAAAGUUUCGGCGGUUGGGGAUGGACUCGCGGCUUAUCAGCUUGUUGGUGGGGUAGUGGCUUACCAAGGCUUUGACGGGUAGCCGGCCUGAGAGGGUGACCGGCCACAUUGGGACUGAGAUACGGCCCAGACUCCUACGGGAGGCAGCAGUGGAGAAUAUUGCACAAUGGGCGGAAGCGUGAUGCAGCAACGCCGCGUGCGGGAUGACGGCCUUCGGGUUGUAAACCGCUUUCGCCUGUGACGAAGCGUGAGUGACGGUAAUGGGUAAAGAAGCACCGGCUAACUACGUG